AUCUGCCCUUGGGUUCGGGAUAACAGUUGGAAACGACUGCUAAUACCGGAUGAUGACUUCGGUCCAAAGAUUUAUCGCCCAGGGAUGAGCCCGCGUAGGAUUAGCUAGUUGGUGAGGUAAAGGCUCACCAAGGCGACGAUCCUUAGCUGGUCUGAGAGGAUGAUCAGCCACACUGGGACUGAGACACGACCCAGACUCCUACGGGAGGCAGCAGUGGGGAAUAUUGGACAAUGGGCGAAAGCCUGAUCCAGCAAU
rnacentral:rRNA from 1 species